UACGGAGGAUCCGAGCGUUAUCCGGAUUUAUUGGGUUUAAAGGGUGCGUAGGUGGAUUGGUAAGUCAGUGGUGAAAGUUUGCAGCUUAACUGUAAAAUUGCCGUUGAAACUGCCGGUCUUGAGUGCAAAUGAGGUAGGCGGAAUGCGUCGUGUAGCGGUGAAAUGCUUAGAUAUGACGCAGAACUCCGAUUGCGAAGGCAGCUUACUGGGAUGCAACUGACGCUGAGGCACGAAAGCGUGGGUAUCAAACGGGAUUAGAUACCCCGUA
rnacentral:rRNA from 1 species